GUCAGCACCCCGCGCUGAAGCGACGGGGCUUCAUGCCUCACCGACCGUAUUAGCUGACCAGCCUAAGUCUUAACUGACUACGUUUUUUGAGUCAAGACACCCUGCGGAUGCGCGAGCCGCGUCCCUGGCUCUGUCGUUAGUGGUUAAACAUCUUUAUCGGGUUAAGGAAGUGCUGCUAACCUAACAAGCUCUUAAAACAUUGGCGUUCGCGUAGCGUGUGCGAAGCACUCAGCUAACUUUAC
rfam:Planktothrix agardhii NIVA-CYA 126/8 chromosome, whole genome shotgun sequence.